GACGAACGCUGGCGGCGUGCUUAACACAUGCAAGUCGAACGGAAAGGCCCUGCUUUUGUGGGGUGCUCGAGUGGCGAACGGGUGAGUAACACGUGAGUAACCUGCCCUUGACUUUGGGAUAACUUCAGGAAACUGGGGCUAAUACCGGAUAGGAGCUCCUGCUGCAUGGUGGGGGUUGGAAAGUUUCGGCGGUUGGGGAUGGACUCGCGGCUUAUCAGCUUGUUGGUGGGGUAGUGGCUUACCAAGGUUUUGACGGGUAGCCGGCCUGAGAGGGUAACCGGGCACAUUGGGACUGAGAUACGGCCCAGACUGCUACGGGAGGCAGCAGUGGGAAAUAUUGCACAGUGGGCGGAAGCCUGAUGCAGCAACGCCGCGUGCGGGAUGACGGCCUUCGGGUUGUAAACCGCUGUCGCCGGUAACGAAGCGUGAGUGACGGUAAUGGGUAAAGAAGCACCGGCUAACUACGUG
rnacentral:rRNA from 1 species